UGCUGGGACACUGUACUCCUCAUAGGUGUCGGAGAGCAGCACCAUGGCACCUCCAUCUUCCGCCGAGACACCUACAAUGGUGACCACCUCCUCGACAGUUUGAGCUUCAGCCUUCUGAAAUUUGUAUAGCUCGAGGAAUUAAAUUUGGCAGCAGGUCUGAGUGUUGCCUUGAGAUGGGAAAUCUCAACCUGAUCUCCCAAACUCAUCUCAAGCAGGGCCUCAUCACGCCAGAGGGAGACCUCGAAGCACUUCUGGCCACACCUCAGAGACAGGUCUCUGAUGGGGACCUCCCCGUCGGUCACCCGUGUCAUCCUGAUUACCUGCAACUACAUUAUCACAAUGGGAGAUGAAUCCUCCCCUUGUGAACAGGUUGUCCUCUUCCCCUGUCACGAGGGCUGUUGGAGGACUGAGGAGAUCUUCCGCCUUUUUCUCUGCUGCCUCUGGCACGGUGAAAGGUGCUGUUUUAAAUUUCUUUGCACCAGGG